rnacentral:lncRNA from 1 species
CUGGGUAUACUUUUCUAAUUUUAGAGUGCUAAAGAAGCUCUUCUCACAGGGACCCGAGUGAAUCCUUUCUCCUUGGAACAAAGGACAAGAAAAAAAGAAAGGACUUUACCGCAGAAAUGAUGAAGAUCAUGUCUCCAAGUCUUUUCUGCCGUUGCCAGUAUUCUCUCCCAAUCUCCUGUGGGCAACUUCUUCGGGAAAACACUCAUGCAAUUUCAUAAGGACAAGCGAAAAUAUGAAGAAGCUGGAUCUUGGAACUAGGCUUUGAUCACAGAGCGGAGCUGAGAUGAAAGUCCAUCCACUCAUUCAACAAAUAAUUGAGUACUUACAAAAAUUUCUGCUGUAUGGAGCUUAUAUAGUAGUGAAUAUCAAUUCUUAUUUUAUGGAUUAUAAAACAGAACUUUUUGCAACAAUUUUACACUACCCUAGGGGUACCUAUGAGUCUUCAUGCCUCAAGUAAUUGUCCUGUCCAUGUGACUAUGGAAGCCCUGAAAUCUUUGAAACCCCAGAUGACCCAUUUCACCAGACGCUUGGACAUUCUCCGUCGAGUUUGGAUUUAUAGUGGGUACCCAGAUUUAGGUCAAGGACAUAAAAUCUGAACCACUUUAGGCACUGCUCAUAAGGAGUAAAUUCCUAGUGAAAAAGCAAUGUCCCUCAGGAAUGAUUGCUAUAGCAGGCUAAAAGGUAGAUUUAUAAAUGUUUAUAAAAAGCAGAUUGGAUUUAGCAGAGGUAGCAGUGAUGACCAGGAGCAAUAGGAGGAAAUGUUCUUAAUAGUGCUGUUUGGUGGCAUCUUCUUUUUAUACAAAGAAGUCUUGCAAGCAUUUCUACUUGAAUGACUAAUUUGGAGUAAUUUUUAGUUUCUGUAUUUUUAUUAGUUAAUAGGAUCUAGGAAUAUAAUAACCUGGUGAGAAUUUCUUCGUGAAUGGCAAUCAAAUUUGUCUUAUUCAUGAAACUCAUAAAUAAGCUAUAAUCCAGCAUUUUAUAACUAGGGAAAAUAAAACUGGGGUCCUGCUGUUUAAGAGGCUAAGGCAAUUUAACAGAACACUGGGGGAUUUAUAGUAGAUUUAUGAUGAAGAUACAUUCUAACUGGAAGCUUAAUUGUGAUUUAAAUUAUAGGUCAAGCUGAGCAAUGUGUUUUCUUUUUAGGGGGAAAUCUUUAGAGAGUUAGAGUGUGCUUGUUUAAAGAGGAAACAGACCAAAUGAGAAAACAGAUUGCAUUUUCUGUUUUUCUUUUAAAAUUUCAAGCUGCUUUAAGUCAAAUUGCCCCUGAGUUCCUGAUGAUGGCUGUGGUGAAAUUGCCUUGUUUUACUUUCUUGCCUUCUUUUCCAGAGCAGUUAUUUUACCUGAAAAUAACAAAAAGAUAUAGGCAGCAUAUCAGCCAGAAAACUAAUAUGGAAACCAGAGAUAAAGUAUACUCAACCUGCCUAGAAUUGUGACAUCCUAUAAUUUUAGGCUGAGUUGUAUAAAAUUAGCAAGUAAUAUGGAUGAAAGGGCCUUUGAAAAAUUUUUGCCACUCAUUUUGCAAAUGGGAAAAUUGAGGCUUCUAGUGGUUUUCCUAAAUUUUUUAUCUCAAGUACUUUAAGGUCUCAUGAGGAAAUAAAAUUUAUGUACAAAUAAUUUUAAUUAAAAGUAUAAAAAGUUGUUUCCCUGAAAAAUAAAACUUAAAACAGAUAACAAAAGGUUGAUUCUGUAAGGAGGAUUUCUAUUGGGAAAAGGACAGUUAGAUUUGACAGCCCAGAUGCUUACUCUCUAACAUUUCCCUACCCCUUGGCAGAAUCCUUCAAUAAUUAACACCAGGACAACCACAUAGACUUCAGCCAUGGGUGUGUCAGGGGCAUUUGAACCAGAGCAACUCCAUCUUGAAUAGGGUCUGGGCAAAGUGAGGCUGAGACCCACUGGGCUGCAUUCCCAGGAGGUUAGGCAUUCUUAGUUACAGGAUGAGAUAGGAGGUUGGCACAAGAUACAGGUCACAAAGACCUUACUGAUAAAAUAAUAUGGUACAGAAGCUGGCCAAAACCCACCAAAACCAAGAUGGUGACGAAAGUAACCUCUGGUAGUCUUCACUGCUCAUUAUGUGCUAAUUAUAAUGCAUUAGCAUGCUAAAAGACACUCCUACCAGUGCCAUGACAGUUUACAAAUGCCAUAGCAAUGUCAGGAAGUUAUACUAUAUGGUCUAAAAAGAGGAGGAACUCUCAGUUCUGGGAAUUGCCCACCUCUUUCCUGGAAAACUCAGGAAUAAUACACCCCUUGUUUAGCAUAUAAUCAAAUAACUAUAAGUAUAAUCAGUC